rnacentral:rRNA from 1 species
AACGAACGCUGGCGGCAGGCCUAACACAUGCAAGUCGAGCGCCCCGCAAGGGGAGCGGCAGACGGGUGAGUAACGCGUGGGAACCUACCUAGUGGUGCGGAAUAGCCCAGGGAAACUUGGAGUAAUACCGCAUACGCCCGCAAGGGGAAAGAUUUAUCGCCAUUAGAUGGGCCCGCGUUGGAUUAGCUAGUUGGUGAGGUAAUGGCUCACCAAGGCGACGAUCCAUAGCUGGUCUGAGAGGAUGAUCAGCCACACUGGGACUGAGACACGGCCCAGACUCCUACGGGAGGCAGCAGUGGGGAAUAUUGGACAAUGGGCGCAAGCCUGAUCCAGCCAUGCCGCGUGAGUGACGAAGGUCUUCGGAUUGUAAAGCUCUUUUGGCGGGGACGAUAAUGACGGUACCCGCAGAAUAAGCCCCGGCUAACUUCGUGCCAGCCGCCGCCGUAACAC